rnacentral:snRNA from 1 species
GAUGUGAGGGCGAUCUGUCUGCAACAUCUGUCACCCCAUUGAUCACCAGGGUUGAUUCGGCUGAUCUGGCUGGCUUGGCGGGUGUCCCCUUCCUCCCUUACCUCUGCAUGUGUGUCCCUCCCGAAGCUGCAUGCUUGGUGGAAGAGGACGACCAUCCCAGAUAGGAGUGUACCGAUCUUCAGUCAAGAGUAUACGAUAGCUGCGCUCCCCUGCUAGAACCUCCAAACAAGCUCAAGGUCCACUCUGCUGUUGAAUCUUAAAUCAUAUACAAUUAACAAUCUUAAAUACAUUUUGAAAGAUAAAACUAUUU